rnacentral:rRNA from 1 species
UGCAGUCGAGCGACUGAUUAGAAGCUUGCUUCUAUGACGUUAGCGGCGGACGGGUGAGUAACACGUGGGCAACCUGCCUGUAAGACUGGGAUAACUUCGGGAAACCGAAGCUAAUACCGGAUAGGAUCUUCUCCUUCAUGGGAGAUGAUUGAAAGAUGGUUUCGGCUAUCACUUACAGAUGGGCCCGCGGUGCAUUAGCUAGUUGGUGAGGUAACGGCUCACCAAGGCAACGAUGCAUAGCCGACCUGAGAGGGUGAUCGGCCACACUGGGACUGAGACACGGCCCAGACUCCUACGGGAGGCAGCAGUAGGGAAUCUUCCGCAAUGGACGAAAGUCUGACGGAGCAACGCCGCGUGAGUGAUGAAGGCUUUCGGGUCGUAAAACUCUGUUGUUAGGGAAGAACAAGUACAAGAGUAACUGCUUGUACCUUGACGGUACCUAACCAGAAAGCCACGGCUAACUACGUGCCAGCAGCCGCGGUAAUACGUAGGUGGCAAGCGUUAUCCGGAAUUAUUGGGCGUAAAGCGCGCGCAGGCGGUUUCUUAAGUCUGAUGUGAAAGCCCACGGCUCAACCGUGGAGGGUCAUUGGAAACUGGGGAACUUGAGUGCAGAAGAGAAAAGCGGAAUUCCACGUGUAGCGGUGAAAUGCGUAGAGAUGUGGAGGAACACCAGUGGCGAAGGCGGCUUUUUGGUCUGUAACUGACGCUGAGGCGCGAAAGCGUGGGGGAGCAAACAGGAUUAGAUACCCUGGUAGUCCACGCCGUAAACGAUGAGUGCUAAGUGUUAGAGGGUUUCCCCCCCUUUAGUGCUGCAGCUAACGCAUUAAGCACUCCCCCCUGGGGAGUACGG